UACAGAGGGGGCAAGCGUUGUUCGGAAUUACUGGGCGUAAAGGGCGCGUAGGCGGCCUUCUAAGUCGAACGUGAAAUCCCCGGGCUCAACCCGGGAACUGCGUCCGAUACUGGAAGGCUUGAAUCCAGGAGAGGGAUGCGGAAUUCCAGGUGUAGCGGUGAAAUGCGUAGAUAUCUGGAGGAACACCGGUGGCGAAGGCGGCAUCCUGGACCGGUAUUGACGCUGAGGCGCGAAAGCCAGGGGAGCAAACGGG
rnacentral:rRNA from 1 species